rnacentral:rRNA from 1 species
AUUGAACGCUGGCGGAAUGCUUUACACAUGCAAGUCGAACGGCAGCACGGACUUCGGUCUGGUGGCGAGUGGCGAACGGGUGAGUAAUGUAUCGGAACGUGCCCAGUCGUGGGGGAUAACGUAGUGAAAGUUACGCUAAUACCGCAUACGAUCUAUGGAUGAAAGCGGGGGAUCGCAAGACCUCGCGCGAUUGGAGCGGCCGAUAUCGGAUUAGGUAGUUGGUGGGGUAAAGGCCCACCAAGCCAACGAUCUGUAGCUGGUCUGAGAGGACGACCAGCCACACUGGAACUGAGACACGGUCCAGACUCCUACGGGAGGCAGCAGUGGGGAGUUUUGGACAAUGGGCGAAAGCCUGAUCCAGCCAUUCCGCGUGCAGGAUGAAGGCCCUCGGGUUGUAAACUGCUUUUGUACAGAACGAAAAGGUUUCUACUAAUACUAGGAGCUCAUGACGGUACUGUAAGAAUAAGCACCGGCUAACUACGUGCCAGCAGCCGCAGUAA